GGUGGUCGUGGCCUAAUGGUUAGAGUGUCAGACUUGUAACCUGAAGGUUGUGGGUUCAAGUCUCCAGUUCAGCA